AUCGUGUGUGUGUGUGUGUGUGUGUGUGUGUGUGAGAGAGAGAGAGAGAGAGAGAGAGAGAGAGAGAGAGAGAGAGAGAGAGAGAGAGAGAGAGAGAGAGAGAGAGAGAGAGAGAGAGAGAGAGAGACGGAAAAUUUGAGGCAGCAAGAUACAUUUUGCUAUUCAAUCUGGCAACACUGUCUGCAUUGUCGGAUAUAAAACCUGGCUGUCUCGAGACCCACAGCAGACCAAGAGGUGAAUUACAAAGGACUCAGCUACUCACAACCCUGAAGCCCCACCAUGAAGGUGACCGCUGCCUUUCUCCUGCUGAUGGCCGUGUUGGCCGCCGUGCUGUGCUCACACCCCUCGCUCGCCGCGGUCGGGCUAGGACAUCAUGUUGAGCACGGGUGUGCAACUUAUUGUCCUUCAGGAAUUGGUCAGUCUUCAUUGAAAUGGUUCUCCUGCCCCAUUGAUGGAUAGUUGUUCAACCCAGCACCACUGGAAUCAGUAAAUAAACGAACCCUGGAAAGCAGUAUGUGGGUCUCCUGCCUCAUUCAUGGAUAGUUGUUCAAUCCAGCACCAGUGGAAUCAGUAAAUAAACGAACCCUGCAACGCA